AGCAUGUCCAUAUUGCCCUUAUCCUACUCCUCCCCCUCCGUGUCCCCCAACAUUUCCACCAAAACACCCUCCACAUGUAAAGCCACCUUUCCACCCCAAACCACCGCAUCACAAGCCACCCCAUGUCAAACCACCGCACAAGCCCCCGUAUGUUCCUAAACCACCUUAUUCCCCAAGCCCUAAACCGCCUUACGUGCCAAAACCACCUCAUACUCCAGUCCCUAGGCCACCAUAUUUCCCCAAACCACCUUACACACCAAGGCCUAAGCCACCAUAUGCGCCAAAACCACCUUAUACGCCAACCCCUAAGCCACCAUAUUUCCCCAAACCACCUUACACACCAAGGCCGAAGCCACCAUAUGUGCCAAAACCACCUUAUACGCCAGCCCCUAAGCCACCAUAUUUUCCCAAACCACCUUACACACCAAGGCCUAAGCCACCAUAUGCACCAAAACCACCUUAUACGCCAACACCUAAGCCACCAUAUUUCCCCAAACCACCUUACACACCAAGGCCUAAGCCACCGUACGUGCCAAAACCACCGUACACACCAAGGCCUAAGCCACCGUACGUGCCAAAACCACCAUACACACCAACCCCUAAGCCACCGUACGUGCCAAAACCACCUUACACCCCAACCCCUAAGCCACCGUACGUGCCAAAACCACCGUAUACCCCAAC
rnacentral:lncRNA from 1 species